CCCUAGCCCUGAUAGAAGCGGUAUCCUUUUGUUUUUUUCUUUAAAAAACAAAAGAUAUAGCGGAUAGCAGGAAAUAGC
rnacentral:sRNA from 1 species